rnacentral:lncRNA from 1 species
GUUGCUGGGAUUGGAGGAAUUUGUGGGGUGGAUGGAGAGAGAGGGUGAAGAGAGAAAGAUGGAGGAUUUGAGAGAGGCCUUUAGGAUGUAUGAGAUGGAAGGGAGUGGGUGUAUUACUGCAAAGAGCUUGAAAAGGAUGCUGAGUAGAUUGGGGGAGUCAAGAAGUGUGGAAGAGUGCAGUGUUAUGAUCGGACAAUUUGAUGUAAAUGGGGAUGGGGUUCUGAGCUUUGAUGAGUUCAAGCGCAUGAUGCUUUAAUCUUGUUUAACAUCUUUUAUCUGAAUGUUGUAUUUUUUUUUUUAGAUUUAAGAAGAGUGGUUUGUAUUCAAAAAUUAAGAUUCUCCUCAUUGCUUUCCUCGUGCACAUGGUGAAGAAAAUACUCCCUAUUCUAUAUUUGAUUUUGCAUAAAAAUUCCUUUUACGGCAAAGAGCAAGUGUGAUAAAAUUUAAGUUGAUUUUUAAAUUAAAUUGUUAGUUCAAAUCAUUUUCUCUCUGUGUUUGUAAAAUACUCAUAUUAAAAAUAUUAUAAAAAUACAUAAUAUUAUUACAUAAAAUAAUAAUGAAAUAUAUAUCAUGGAAAAAAUGAAGUAUUAAAUUAUUUUAUAUUUUUAAAAAGUUAUUUAGUCUAAGUUAUUGUUUUGCAUUAUUUUAACUUUAAAUUAUAUAGAAUUAAUUUACCAAUAAGCCUAGACCCCAUUUGAAAUAGAGUUUAACUUUUGCCCUAAUAAUAAAUAAGUAGAAGUAUAAGUAUUAUUAGUGUAAUUGAAUUUUAUAUUUUGGAAUGAUAUCUAUCCCCGCAAAUUUAGGCAGUCUUGUAAAAUAAGUAAAACUAUUGAAAAAAUAUGAGAAUAAAAAUUUUGCAUUAAAAUAAUUAUCGGGGUGCACAAUCCAUAGGACGAUAAUGAAUUGGAGUUCAAGAUCAAUUAAGGACCUUUUUUUUUUUUUUUUAAGUGGGAAGUUGUUUUUCACAAUUUUAUCAUUGAAGGAAGUUAUCUGUAUUUGUAAGUGAAGUUAGAGAAUUAAAUUUGGAAUACCGAAGAUUUGAUUAUUUAAUUCAAGAAGUUUGGUUUCUUAAAGUUAACAACUUGUCUAAUUUAUUUAGGAAAUUAGUCAAUAAGAGAAUAUUUAUUUUCAAUUUUCUUUUGAUUUUGUCUUUUUUUAUUGAGGAAAUUUGUUAAUAAAAAAUAUAUAUUUUUAAUUCUCUCCUAAACUUUAAUGAUUUGAUUUAAUUUUAUUUUGUAAUACUUCUAAAUUUCAUGAGGUGUCACAUUUGAAUAGUCAUAGAAGUGCCUUCACAAAUGUAAAUAUAAUUACAUUUGAUCUCAUUGUAACCAUAUCGAGAAGUCGAUACACGACUCAUAUUGUAAACUCUCCCUAGAAGUUGACUACACACUUAUUUGGUAAAUUACAAUAGUAAAAGAAAAAGAACACAAAAUAUGCACCUAGCCCAAAGUUGGAUGAGAUUUACUUUUGUGAAUAUUAACAUUAACACUAUGUUUGGUUCAUAGAACAUUUGAGAGAAAGAAAAUAGGUAAGAAUCGAAAUAAAAAAAAAAGAAAAAGUUAAGAAAAAUAAAAAAUAAAGUUGAAGUCGAUAAAUUAUUUUUAUUUACUACUAUAAACUCAUUUUAUUUAUUUUAACUCAUCAGUAUAAGGAUUAAAUAAUUUAAAUUUUAAAAAUGUAUAAAUUUUUAAUUAAUUUUAAUUAUAUUUAAUUUUCUUGAAAAUUGUUUCUAGAACAAUCAAAUAUAAGAAAAUCAUUUUUUUAAAUAUUUUUUUUAAUACUUUUCGUGCACCAAAUAUAACUUAAAAGUAUUUUUAUUUUUUAUAUAAAAUAUCACUAUCCUAUUAUUAAACAAAUCAAGGGUCUGUUUAAAAAUAAAUUAUUUUCCAUGGGUAUAAAUAUCUCAAAAAGAUAAUAAAAAAGCCACAUUUAAUUUACUAAUAUAAAAAAGUCCACACCUGAUAAAUCUUUUCCACCUCAUGUCUAGGCAGAUAGAAGGGAGAAAGAGACCAAAAAGACAAACUAGCUUUCUGUGGCGGUUGAGUGUUUUGACCGUUGUAGAUGUAAUUCUAUCUCAAUUUAAUCCAGGCAGCUUCUCACUUUCUUCCCCCAAAAAAUCCAUCAAUUACGCACUCCCUGACACCGUGAUCCAUGCUUUCUUCUUCUCAUCUUCAACUUCAAAACUUCCAAGUUUCCAAUCCUUUUAUGCGUCUCAUAAAGCUAUAUAUAGACUCACAAAUUGUUAUUCACAACACUCCAAGCAUCCAAGUUCUUGCGGUAAGCAGCCAUGAUUAACUGCAGCAUAUAUGAACGCAUAUUCAAGCGCUUUGAUGAAGAUGGUGAUGGGAAACUCUCUCCUUCGGAGCUUCGAAGUUGCGUGGGGACGAUAGGGGAGGAGCUGCUGAUGGAGGAGGCGCAGGAGGUGGUGGAGUCGAUGGACUCAGACGGGGAUGGGUUGGUGGGUUUGGAGGAAUUUGUGGGGUGCAUGGAGAGAGAGGGCGAAAAGAGAAAGAUGGAGGAGUUGAGAGAGGCUUUUAGGAUGUAUGAGAUGGAAGGGAGUGGGUGUAUUACUCCAAAGAGCUUGAAGAGGAUGCUGAGUAGAUUGGGGGAGUCGAGAAGCGUGGAGGAGUGCAGUGUUAUGAUCAGGCAGUUUGAUGUUAAUGGCGAUGGGGUUAUGAGCUUUUAUGAGUUCAAGCUCAUGAUGCUUUAAUAUUGUUUGAUACCUUCCACAUGAAUUUUAUAUUCUUUUUAGAUUUAUAAAGAGUGAUUUGUAUUCAAGAUUCUUUCUACAUAAGGGUCUCCAACGGGCCGGGCCGGGCCGUCCGGCUCGGAGGAGUAAGACCCAUGGCCCAGCUCGAGGCGGGCCACUGAGUCAACGGGCCAGGCCGGGCCGGGCCCUUGGUAUAUCUAAGGCCCGUGGCCCAGCCUGUGGGCCCUCAAGCUGGGCGGGCCGACUGGGGAAAAAAUUAAAAUAGUUUUUAGUUUUGAAGGGAAGAGGUUCGAAAUCCCCUUCCCUUAUGGAUCCAUAAGGGAGCUAGCCACCAACUGAGCUAGUCCUCUUUUGUGUAACUAUUUUGCAUUAGUUAUAUAUAUAUAUAUUAGAAAUGUUGUAUGAUUUUUGAAAAAAUAUAAAAGUGAGUUGGCUGUUCAACGGUCACAUGACUCACAUGACCGUUGAACAUGUCUGCCACUCAAUUCAAUAUUAUGACCGUUGAACGAUCUUGAUUAAAAAAAAAAGAAAUAAUAAAUCCUAAUAUUUAAAUCUCUAUAAAUAUUAAAUACCCUCAAUUUUUUUCUAUUCUCUCAACUCUUAAGCUCUCUCCCAUUCCACAAUAUUUCCGAUUAUUGCAUUUUAUCUCAAAUUAUUCAAUAUUAUUGAUGGUGAAAAACAAGCAUUGGUGGUUCAAAAAGUUCAAAUUUGAAGGAAUUUCUGCUUCGGUUCUCUAAUUUAGUAACAUACUUCACCUUUACUUUUAUUUAUUUGUUACAUUUUAAUUUUACAUUUAUUAUUUUUAGCAUAAUAUUUUAUCAAUAAUUAUAAUUAUGGCAAGUGGUUCUUGUUCUUCAUCUAAUACAUGUGAUAGCAAAAAAUUUACAUCAAAUAUAUGGAAUUUUUUUGAUAGAAUAGAAAUAAAUUUAGAAAAUAAUAAAAAAGAAAUAAAAGCAAAAUGUAAAAUUUGUAACAAACUUCUUAGUGGUGGCUCAAAUGCAGGUACAAGUCAUUUAAAAAGGCAUCAUGAAAAUUGUAAAACUAAAAAUAAUGUAGAUAUUAGAAAUUAUAUGCAAUUAGGUAAAGAUGAAAGUGGAAAUUUAAAAACAUUUUCUUAUGAUGAAUCUUAUUGUUGUGAAGAAAUGAUUGGUUAUAUAAUAAGAGCAGAACAACCUUUCAAUUUCAUGGAAACUCAUGAUUUUACGGGAACAAUGCAACGAGCUGUUAAUCCUCAGUUUUAAGGUUGCUCUGGAAAUACAGUUAAAAGAAUUCUUAUAAAAAAUUUUGAAACACAAAAAGAAAAUUAAAAAUUUUUUUUUGCAAAUUUUGAAGAAAGAAUUUGUUUAACAUCUGAUAUUUGGACAUCUUUAACUCAUAGUGGUUUUUUUAUAUAUAACUGCUCAUUAUAUUGAUAAUGAAUGAAAAUUAAAUAAAAGAAUUAUUUCAUUUAAAAUAAUAAAUGCUCCAUAUAAUGGUAAAAAUAUAGCAUCUUUAAUAAAUGAUGAAAUUAUAGAUUUUGGCAUUCGUGAUAAAAUAUUUACAAUAACAUUAGAUAAUGCUUCUAAUAAUGAUGCAGCAGUAUCUAGAUUAAAACGAUAUUGGCAAAUAAAAGAAGAUCAAUGUAAAAUAUUUCAUGUGCGUUGUUGUGCACAUAUUUUAAAUUUCAUUGUAAAAGAUGGAUUAAAACACGUUGAUGAUACAUUAUAAAAAAUUAGAGGCAUUGCUGCGGGUCUUAAUAGUUCUCAAGCAAAACAUGAAUUAUUUUUUUAUUGUUGCAAAAUGUUAAAUAUGAAAAAAAGAAAUAUAAAUUUGGAUAUGCCCACUAGAUGGAAUUCCACUUAUAAACUUUUACAAACUAUUACAAAAUAUAGAAAAGUAGUAGAACUAUAUGAAAUACAAUUAAUUAACAAUGAUUGUGAAACAAAUAUUGAUGUAUUAAAUGAUUAUUAUUGGCAUAUUGCAGAUCUUUUAAGAGAUCUUUUUGAAGUAUUUGAUACUUCAACAAAAAAUUUUUGUGGUGUAUAUUAUCCAUCUUCAAACCGAGUUGUCAUGCAAAUAACUAAUAUUUUUAUUGUACUUCAAAAAUAUUUAAAUUUGGAUAUAUUUAAUGAUGCAAUAUUUGCAAUGAUAGAAAAAUUUAGAAAAUAUUGGGGAGAAAUACCUUUAAUUUUUUAUCUUGGUUUUGUGGACCCUAGAUUGAAAUUUGAAACUUUGGAUGAAUGGUUAACAAUUAUUUAUUUUAAUGACCAAAUAAAAAUUGAAGAAAUUAAAAAUGAAAUAAAUUCAUUAUUAUAUAAUUUAUAUAACUAUUAUAAAGAAAAAUAUGGUGAUGAUAUUAGUUCUAUUAAAUUACCACCUAUAUCUACAAGUUCUUCAUCUUUUUAUAAAGGAGCUCUAGAAAUGUUAAAAAGUUGAAAGAAGAUAACAAAUAGUUCUCCAAACAACACAACUGAUUUAGAUAGAUAUCUUAAUAUUGAUUUAAUUUCAUUUGAAGAUGAUGAAGAUUUUGAUAUUUUAAUAUGGUGGAAAUCACAACAACACAAAUAUCCUGUGCUUUCUAUCAUUGCUCGUGAUGUACUAACAGUUCUUGUGAGUACAGUUGCAUCAGAAGCUGCUUUUAGUGUAGGUGGAAGAGUAGUUAGUGAUAAACGAUGCAACUUAGCGCCGGAUUCUAUUGAAGCAAAUAUAUGUGUGAAAGACUGGACAAUAGUAGAUAAAAGGAUAUUUGAUUCUAUUCAAGAAGAAAAUAUGCUUGUCGAUAUGGAAAAACUAAAAUCAUCAAGAUCUUCAUGGAUUUGCGAUAGUUCGCCAACACCGCCAAGAGAUAAUGAUUAAAAUAUUUUACUAAAUGUAUGUCAUAUUUUUAUUUUUAUUUUUGUAGUUGAAAAGUACAAAUGAUUGACAAAUAAGUAGGUGCCAACCUAGUUGGGAUGUAUUUAUUUUGUAGUGAUGUAAACUUUUCCCACAUUUUCAAAUGUAACGUAUACAUUCAAUGAAUAAAAUAGUUAGCAAUGAAUAUUUUUAUUAAUGUAGUAUUUUCUAUUUCUUGAAUAUUUAUAUAUAUAUAUAUAUUUAAGUGGCGGGCCUACGGGCGGGCCAGCCCACCGGGCCUAAAUUGGAGCCCAUGGCUCGGUCCAUCCAAAAAUGGGCUCGAGCCGGGCCGGGCCUAGGCCAGGCCGCGGGCUUUUUAGAGACCCUUAUUUCCACAUAUACAGAGGAAUAUGAUUUUUUUUUCUUUCCACUCUAUAACAUUUAUAUAUAUAUAUAUAUAUAUAUAUAUGUUCUGUACAUGAUUGUUUGGGCCAAUUAAACUCUCAAGGGUGUGUGGAACCCUGCACUAGUCUUGUUAUAUACGGUAACUCAACUGACUUUAAAUGGAAGUUGGUGCUUUAACACAUAGCGUUAAUAUGUUUAGUAACUUAAAUUAAUUUAUUAAACAAUUCUAUAUCUUUUUAAUAUGCCAACCAAGGGAAUUAUAGCAUUUUUCUCAUUCAUGCUAAGGAAUUAGUGAAAGUAUGGAUUGUGAAGUUAACAUAUAACAACUCGCGCUUAACUGUAUAGAUAUUAUCCUCUCUAAGUCCUAAAGGGCCCUUACAGCUUUAAAAUGUAUCUACAUGAUUUAGAGAGAUCUAUACUUAUAUAGUAUCAUAAAUUUUCUCUCAUAUUCAAUAUGGGGUAUCAUAAACACCCUCUAUGCAAAUAUAACGUUCUCGUUGUAUUCCAUGAUAUUAUGGGGUAAAACAGAUAAACAAUCCUUAUAGGGCCAAAUAUACCCCCACACCAAGAUCGAUGAUUAGUUCUAAUAUCACUUAUAACGACAUGUAUCUAACCAUGUAGAUAUUUUUCGCUCUAGAAAUUGGAUAUGAGAGAAAGUUUAUGACGUUAUAUAUGUAGAGGUUCCUCUUAAUUCUAUAAACGCAUUUUAAAAUUGUGAAGACCCCUUUGGAUUCAGAGUUGAUAAUAUCUACACAGUUGGAUGAGGUUCGUUAUCUAACAUCUUAUUUUGUUAAUUAAUUUCCAACUAAUUGUCACUAUGUUCAAUGAAUCCCUUCAUCUAUAAAGAAAAGAAAAGGGGGUUGAGUUGGGAGCCUACAAUUUCUCUUAUUGUGGAUGUUUUCUGAAUGCAUUAUUGAGUAGUCAUAGAAGUGCCUUCUUAACUGUCAAUAAAAUUACAUUUGAUCUCAUUGUAACCAUAUCGAGAAGUCGAUACAUGACUCAUAUUGUAAACUCUCUCUAGAAGUUGACUACAAACUUAUUUGGUAAAUUACAAUAGUAAAAGAAAAAGAACACAAAAUAUGCACCUAGCCAAAGUUGGAUGAGAUUUACUUUUGUGAAUAUUAACAUUAAGGCUAUGUUUGGUUCGUAGAAAAUUUGAGAGAAAGAAAAUAGAUAAGAAAAUAAAUAAGAAAAAAAAAGUGAAGAAAAAUAAAAAAAAUAGAGUUGAAAUUGAUAAAUUAUAUUUAUUUACUACUUUAAAUUCAUUUUAUUUAUUUUAACUCAUCAUUAUAAAGAUUAAAAAAUUUAAAAUUUAAAAAUAUAUAAGUUCUUAAUUAAUUUUAAUUAUAUUUAAUUUUCUUGAAAAUUCUUUCUAGAACAAUCAAAUAUAAGAAAAUUAUUUUUCUUGAUAUUUUUUUCUUUUCUUAAUACUUUUCGUGCACCAAAUAUAACUUAAAAGUAUUUUUAUUUUUUAUAUAAAAUAUCACAUAUAAUUUUAUAAAAUCUAUCCUAUUAUUAAACAAAUCAAGGGUCUGUUUAAAAAUAAAUAAAUAAAUAAUUUUCCAUGGGUGUAAAUAUCUCAAAAAGAUAAUAAAAAAGCCACAUUUAAUUUACUAAUAUAAAAAAGUCCACACCUGAUAAAUCUUUUCCACCUCAUGUCUAGGCAGAUAGAAGGGAGAAAGAGACCAAAAAGACCAACUAGCUUUCUGUGGCGGUUGAGUGUUUUGACCGUUGUAGAUGUAAUUCUAUCUCAAUUUAAUCCAGGCAGCUUCUCACUUUCUUCCCCCAAAAAAUCCAUCAAUUACGUACGCACUCCCUGACACCGUGAUCAAUGCUUUCUUCUUCUCAUCUUCAACUUCAAAACUUCCAAGUUCCAAUCCUUUUACGCGUCUCAUAAAGCUAUAUAUGGACUCACAAAUUGUUAUUCACAACACUCCAAGAAUCCAAGUUCUUGCGGUAAGCAGCCAUGAUUAACUGCAGCAUAUAUGAACGCAUAUUCAAGCGCUUUGAUGAAGAUGGUGAUGGGAAACUCUCUCCUUCGGAGCUUCGACGUUGCGUGGGGACGAUAGGGGAGGAGCUACUGAUGGAGGAGGCGCAGGAGGUGGUGGAGUCGAUGGACUCAGACGGGGAUGGGUUGGUGGGGUUGGAGGAAUUUGUGGGGUGGAUGAAGAGAGAGGGCGAAGAGAGAAAGAUGGAGGAGUUGAGAGAGGCUUUUAGGAUGUAUGAGAUGGAAGGGAGUGGGUGUAUUACUCCAAAGAGCUUGAAGAGGAUGCUGAGUAGAUUGGGGGAGUCGAGAAGCGUGGAGGAGUGCAGUGUUAUGAUCAGGCAGUUUGAUGUUAAUGGCGAUGGGGUUCUGAGCUUUGAUGAGUUCAAGCUCAUGAUGUUUUGAUAUUGUAAUGAUUAUAUAUAUGAUUUUUAUUUCCUUUUCCGGUGAAUAACAUUUAUGCCUUAAUUAAAACACUUCAUCGUCUUAUCUAUUAUUAUUAUUGAAACUAAAUAAAAACCCUAUUAGUUACUAUCAAUGACAAAAUAAAAUUUAAAAUAUUAAAAAUACAAUUAAAACUAAAAAAAAUCAAUAAUAAAUAAUGCCAAAACAAAAUAUUGGUUUUCUACCAAAAAAUUAAAAAAAAAAAUAGUUUUCUAUUAAAAGUUUGUCACUUUAUCAAUGUCUAUAAUUUCUUAUAAAAAAAAUAUUUUGAUGGAUCCUAAAUAUUUUCAUAGUGAUCCUUUUCAAUCUAACUCUAGGUCAUUAGUAUAUAUGCAUUGCUUCCAUAAUAAUACCGAAUUUAUUUUUAUUUAAUUAAAUCUUUUUUUCUUAAAUGCGAGAUCAUUAUAACAAAAUCCUUUUAAAUUUAAUUACUCUAUUUGAAUAAAUCGAUUUUACUUAUUUGAAAGAAUGAAAAAUAUGAUAUUUGAUGUUUGAAAAUUCCAUCUUUGUACCUUUAAAAUCUAAUUUUAAAAAGGAUGGAACUUUAAUAUGCUUAAUAACAUAAAUUAAUUUAUCAAAUGCUUAUAAAAUUUUCUAAUAUUUUAAGUAUGAUAAACAAUUUAUUUUUCAAUCUUAUGUAAAAAAUAUUUGCUAAUGUAUUAAAAAUAAAUGUAAUUGGGAAAAAGCUUGUAAGUUGUGUCAUUCAUCCAUGCUGAGGAGUCAGUAGCAGUGUGAAGAAGUUGAUAGGUUGUCUGAAAAACCAGUUGAGUCUUUUGACGUUAGCUUGUUGUUCUACAGAAGAACACUAUUUUUUUUAUUUUUUUUUAUUUUAUUUUUUAUGUUUUAAUUUUGUAAACAUGUUUCUCGUUUGUCGCGUCAUAUCCACCUCAUGUCCGGGUGGAUUGAAAAAGCAAAAGGCUAGAAGAAAAGUAUUCUAUUCUUAGUAAAGUCAAUACGCACUCCGUGACGUCCCCUCCAGAACUUCCUAGUAAAGUUCGAUUCUUCACUCUCAAAAUCUCCAUACCCAACAGCUCUAUCUACUCCUUUUACGCGUCCCCACAACAGCUAUAUAUAUGCACACACAAGGUGUUCAUCCUCACAUCUUCACAUCUUACUACAAAUUAAGUUUUAUUCACAUUAAUUUUCAUUAACAUCCUUGUGUUGCGACAGCCAUGAUUAACUGCAAUGUGUAUGAACGCAUUUUCAAGCGCUUCGAUGAGGAUGGUGAUGGGAAACUCUCUCCUUCGGAGCUCCGACGCUGCUUGGGGACGAUAGGGGAGGAGUUGCUGAUGGAGGAGGCGCAGGAGGUGGUGGAGUCGAUGGACUCGGACGGAGAUGGGUUGCCGGGAUAGGAGGAAUUUGUGGGGUGGAUGGAGAGAGAGGGUGAAGACAGAAAGAUGAAGGAGUUGAGAGAGGCCUUUAGAAUGUAUGAGAUGGAAGGGAGUGGGUGUAUUACUGCAAAGAGCUUGAAGAGGAUGCUGAGUAGAUUGGGGGAGUCAAGAAGUGUGGAAGAGUGCAGUGUUACGAUCGGACAGUUUGAUGUAAAUGGGGAUGGGGUUCUGAGCUUUGAUGAGUUCAAGCUCAUGUUGCUUUAAUCUUGUUUGAUACCUUCCAUGUGAAUUUUGUAUUAUUUUUAGGUUUAUAAGAGUGAUUUGUAUUCAAGAUUCUUUCUACAUACAAGAGGAAUAUGAUUUUUUUCUUCUUUCGGUUUAUAACUCUAGACAUAAAAAUUUUAGUGGAUUAAAUUAUCACUAAUUUGGUCUUAAAAAAUUGAUAAAUAAAAAUAGAUAUCCUCUUAUGGAUAACUUUUCUAAAAAAGAAACUAAUCUCCAACUAUAAAAAGGAUAAUAAUAAAUAUAUUAUUAUUAUUAUUAUUAUUAUCAUGUUAGUACAUUAUUAGAAGUUGCUAAAAUCAAGAAACUAAAUCCAUUAAUUGGGGAAUUCAAAAUUCAAAUUCUCUAUCUUCACGUAUAAAUAGAAGUGAUUUCUUUCAAGAAAAAGAGGGAGAAAUUAAAAAAUAAAAAUCUAAAAAGGAAAAUCUUAAGGAGAAAAUCCAAAGACGAUUUUAGAAUCAUCAAAUCUCCUUGACUACUACAUGUGUUCUUCACCAUUAAACGAGUUCAUUUAGGAAUAAGCCACUUGUGGCCCUCAAUUGAUCUUCGAAAUAAAAAAAAAAGGCCAUCGUUGUUUUUCAAGUUGUGGACAAAGCGAAAGAAUCGGAGAGAAAAUAUUCUUUUGUGAAGAAUAUUAUAUUUGAGAUUGUACCCACAAUAUUUUUAAUUUCAAUAAAUAUUUUGUUUGCAUUAUUUUCCUAUUUGUUUUACUAAUUUUACAAAAUUUGAGCAUACAAUAACAUUUAUAUGUAUAUAUAUAUAUAUACUUUACAUGAUUGUUUGGGGCAAACCCUGAAGGGUGUUUAGACCUACACUAAUCUUGUUAUAUACAACGAUGAUGACAAGUUUUACUAAUCAGGGGACUAGGAUUCUAAGAAAGAAGAACUCAAUUGACUGUGAAUGGAAGUUGGUGCUUUAACGCAUAUCGUUAAUAUGCUUAAUAACAACUCUAAAGGUCUGUUGUUUAGGAAAAUAGCAACUCUAAAGGCCUCAUCCCAAUAUUUUAGAGGCAUAGAAGCUUUAGCUAAUAAAAUGAGACCAUUUUAUACUAUGUGACGAUGUUUUCUCUUCCCAACCCCAUUUUGUUCAUGAGUAUGAGGGCAAGAAUUUCUAUGAAUUAUACCAUGGGACAUUAAGAGAUCAGUAAAAGCUCUAUCUUGUCCUCCCCAAUUAGUUUGAAUAGCCUUUAUUUUAUAACCAAGCUAAAACUCAACUUGUGUUUCAAAAUUUGAGAAAGUUUGAAAAGCAUCUGACUUAUGCUUUAACAAAAAAAUCCAAGUGAAACAAGAGAAUGCAUCUAUAAAGUUGAUGUAAUAUCUAUAGCCACUAGAUGACAACAUUGGAGAGGUCCCCAUAAGUCAAAGUGAACCAAUUGUAAAGGUUUUGUGUAGGUUGUAUCUGACAAUCUAAAAGGAAACGUAUGAAUUUUACCAAAGCAACAAGCUAAACAAAAAGAAUGAGAAUUUGAAUCAAGAAGAGGUAUUUUGCAAUUUGUGAGUACAACUUUUAGAACUUUCUUAGAAGGGUGGCCUAAUCUAUCAUGCCACAAAUCAUACAAUGAACAGGAAUGAGAGAGAAUAGGUACAUGAAAGGCAAUGAUAGAUGGUGCUGGAAUUGGGACCUUUGAGGAAGACAAUGAAGGUUGCAAUAGCUGGUUAAGAUGAAUUUGAACAGAUGAUGCUAGAAUUGGGACCAUUGAGAAAGACAAUAGAGGCUGCAACUGCUGGUUGAGAUGAAUUUGAGUGUGGUCAAAGACAUAAAAUCCAUUUUUAAGAUUUCCCUCCAGUAGCACAGUUUUAGAAGUCUGAUCUUUCACAAAACAGGAAUGUGAGUGAAAUUCAAAGAAAACAUCAUUAUCAUGGGCGAACUUCGAAACACUAAGUAAAUUUUUUGUUAUAGUUGGGACAUGUAAGAGUUGCUUAAGAGAAAGAAUUUUAGAAGUAUAAGGAGAGGAAAAGAUAGAUUGACCAACAUGCUUAAUGGAUAAAUCCAUACCAUUUCCAAUAUGAACUUGAUCUGAUCCAUAAUAUUCGGCCUUAGUCAUCAAAUUUGUAGCAUCAAAAGUAACAUGAUUGGAAGCUCCUGAGUUAGGAUACCAAUUGGUAUCAUUAACAACUUUUGGUGUAGCAAACAUGGCUAUCAUUUGGCCUCCUGCACCUUGUAAUUGGCUUUGAAUGAAAGAUUGUUGAUUCUAGAAUUGAGAUGGUCCUAAGAAACUCUUAUCAAAAUGAUAAUAAUAGUUCAUCCCCACAUGCCCAAUCUUUCCACAAAGUUGACGUUGAGGUUUGUUUUGAGACCAAAAACCUCUCCCACCAAAUUGACCAUUAAAGUGGCCUCCACGACCUCUUCCUCGAUUGGCAAAACCAAAACCUCCUCUAGCAUUGUUCUGAAAAUUGCAUUUUUUACCAAAAAAAAAACUGACCACUAAAGGUGUUUGGAGCACCAAAGUUGGAAUUGGAAUUUUAUGCAAAACCAUUAAUAUACCUUUUUAUGCUUUGCUGAGAGUUUUGACCAGUAACAACAAUAUUUGCUAAGCUAGGUUAUGCAGAAUCUAACUCCUUAUUCUUUUUUUCUAUCCUAGCUUCUUGAGUCAACAACAAGGAUUCUAUAUCAUCAACUAUAUAAGGGUCUAUGCGUGACUCAAUUGAAAGAAUAAAGUUGUCAUAGUCUGGUGAUAAACCCUCAAAUAUGACAUUGAAUGGCCAACUAAUCCUAGAAAAUCAAUACAACCUCUAAUCUUUAACAAAUAUUCAUUCAUAGUCAGAAACUCUUUUCUGGUGUUUCUCAAUUGUGUUUUAAAUUGAAACACUUUUGCUCGAAUUUGAACAGCAAAAUAUCUUUCCAAAUUAAGUUCGCCAUACCUGAGCAGAGUUCUCACAGUUUACCAUAUGUGUAAGAAUCCCUUCAGACAUUGAAGAAAGAAGCCAAGACAACAACAAUUGAUCUUGUUGUUCCCAAUCAAGAAAUUCUGGAUUAACAUUGUCCAUUUCUUCAUCUCUUAGCGUAAGAAACUUCAAUGGUGGGGGUUUUGUUCCAAACACAAAAUUCUGUAAUUUGUGCCCUCGAAUUGCUACAAGAACCUGCUUUCGCCAAAGCAAGAAGUUGUUGUUAUCCAAUCGAACCGAAACAAAGUGACUAAAGGAAACAAGGAUGAACCUUGAAGCAGAUGAUGAGGCUCCACCCAUGGUGGAAAUUGAAAAGCUCUCUAUUGCUGGUAUUUCAAAGCUCGGAUACCAUAUUAGGAUUUAAGAAAACAAAGGAAAACAGUGGAUUUUGGAUUGAAGAAAAACAGAGGACUUAUUAUUCACACUGUGGAAACUAGUUACAAGAGCUUCUUUAAAUAGAAGCUUAUAAUAAAAGAAUAUUUAUUUCUAAUUCUCUCUUUAUUUCAAUUAUUUGGUUUGAUUUUAUUUUGUAAUGACCCUUUUAAAUUUCAUGUCAAGUCUUUAAUGUCUAGGGCUCAUUACUUGUCAAACUCAAAUUUUUUUAAGUUAAAAAAUCAUAAUUUUGAAGACUGAUUUAAUGAUAAUUUAAUCUAUCAAAAUUUUUAAUGUAUAUAAUAUCAUAGAAUAAGAAAUGCUUUUAUUAAGGCUAUCUUUGGCUCUAGUAAAUUUGAGAAGAAAAAUAAAGAUAAAAACUAGAAAGAAAGAAAAAGUAAAAAACAAAAAUGUUUUAAAAAAUUAAAGUCUAUAAAUUAUUUUUAUAUAUUAUUUUAAAUUAUCUUAUUUAUGUUAACUUUUUUACAAAAUUAUUAAAUAAUUUUAAAAUAUAUAAAAUUUUAAUUUAUUUUAAUUCUAAUUGAUUUUCUUUUGUAUUAAAGUACACAUGAAAAAGUCAAUAUCCAGAUAAUGAUGUAACUAUUAUAUUUAUUAAAAAUUUAACUAAAUAAAAAUUAACUAAGGUGUUAUGAAAAAAUAUAUAUUUACUAAUAUAUUUAAAAUAUGUAUAUAAUUGGGAAAGUUUAUAAGUUGCAUAUGUUAUUCAUCCAUGGAAGUGUGGAAGUGUGGAAGUGGGUAGAAAGUAGUGGAAGUGCGUAGAAGUUGAUAAGUUGACUGAGUUUUGAAGGAGUUCAGAAGUUAGCUUGUCAUUCUGCUGGUUUCCAACCCAAGGCCACUAUUUUUUUAAUUUUUUUAAUUUUUUUAAUUUUGUAACAUCAAGUCUAAGGUGAUGUUUGUUUUUUUACUUAAUUCUAAAUGGAACCUUAAUACUUAAUAGUAUUAAAUAUUAGGUUGUUUGUUUUUAUAGUAUUUUAUUUCUAUUAAGUAUUAAAAGGUAAAAAAAACCAUUGUGUUAUUUUUUCUAUUUAGAAAAAGUCACAUAUUUUAGCUUUUUCUAUUUAGUAAAAAGUUUAUAAUAAGUCAUGAAAAAGUAAAAAACCAAACAACCUAAAUUCUAAAACUAAAUGAUUUUCAGCAAAAAGUCAAAAAAACAAACACCACCUAAGUCUAACAUGUCACUCGUUUGUUACGUCAUUUCCACCUCAUGUCCAGGCGGAUUGAAAAAACAAAGGCCAGAAGAAAAGUAUGUAUUCACGAGGUGGGUUUGACCGUUCUACAGUAAAAAUUCCAGCACAAUGCCUAGCAAUUUCUCCGUGAUGUCCGGCUCCUCCAGAACUUUCUAGUGAAGUCUCGAUUCUUCACUCUCAAAACCGCCAUACCUAACAGCUCCAUCUACACCUUUUACGCAUCCCCACAACUGCUAUAUAUAUGCACACACAAAGUGUUCAUCCACAUAUCUUCACAUUUGACUACAAAUUAAGUUUUAUUCACAUUAAUUUUCAUUAAAUCCUUGUGUGUUGCGACAGCCAUGAUUGACUGCAGCAUAUAUGAACGCAUAUUCAAGCGCUUUGAUGAAGAUGGAGAUGGGAAACUCUCUCCUUCGGAGCUUCGACGCUGUGUGGAGACGAUAGGGGAGGAGCUGCUGAUCGAGGAGGCGCAAGAGUUGGUGGAGUCGAUGGACUCGGACGGGGAUGGGCUGUUGGGGAUGGAGGAGUUUGUGGGGUGGAUGGAAAGAGAGGGUGAAGAGAGAAAGAUGGAGGAGUUGAGAGAGGCCUUUAGGAUGUAUGAGAUGGAAGGGAGUGGGUGUAUUACUGCAAAGAGCUUGAAGAGGAUGCUGAGUAGAUUGGGGGAGUCAAGAAGUGUGGAAGAAUGCGGUGUUAUGAUCGGACAGUUUGAUGUAAACGGGGAUGGGGUUCUGAGCUUUGAUGAGUUCAAGCUCAUGAUGCUUUAAUAUUGUUUGAUAUCUUGUAUGUGAAUGUUGUAUUCUUUUUAGAAUUAAAGAGUGGAUUGUAUUCGAGAUUCUUUCCAGAUUAUAUCAUUACUUAAAAUAACAACAAAAUAUUUACCAUAAAAACAAUUAAAUAUGACAUUAUCUUAGAUUUUGAUAAAAUUGUUUAAUUUAACUUAUUGUUUUACAUUUUUUUUUUUUCUAACCAAAUCAUACACAAAAAAACAAAUAAAUAAAAAUAUUUUAACAUGGUUCAGUUAUCAAUAUAAUCCUUAUAUUUACGAUAUGUACCAAUACUUAAAAAACUACUUAUAAAAAGAAACGAGAAAUAGUAUAAAGAUAAAACUCUAAAAAAAAACCCUUCUUAAUUGCUAUUGUACUUUCUAAAAAACAUUAUCAACGAGCUCCACCUCCAACAUUUUGAGCAAAACAUAACAAAACUAAUUAAGAUUAACUUUAAAUUAUAAUAUUAAAUUAUUUUAUAAAAAAUGUGGAUCAUCUUAAGUAAAGGAUUCCUCUUUAAUCCUCUAAUUAAAACAAUUCAUCGUCUUAUCUAUUAUUAUUACUGAAACUAAAUAAAAACCCAAUUAGUUACUAUCAAUGACAAAAUAAAUUUUAAAAUAUUAAAAAUUACAAUUAAAACUAAAAAAAUUAAUAAUAAAUAAUGCCAAAACAAAAUAUUGGUUUUCUACCUCAAAAUUAAAAAAAAAAAAAAUAGUUUUACUUUAUCAAUACCUAUAAUUUUAUAUAAAAAAAAAUAUUUUAAUGAAUCCUAAUAAAUUAUUUUUCAUAGUAAUCCUUUUCAAUCUAGCUCUACGUUAGUAUAUAUGAAUUGCAUCCGAUAGUAAUGGUGAAUUUAUUUUUAUUUAAUUGAAUUUUUUUUAUUAAAUGUGAGAUCAUUUUAACAAAAUCCUUUUAAAUUUAAUUACUCCAUUUGAAUCAAUCGAUUUUACUUAUCUAAAAAAAUGAAAAAUAUGAUAUUUGAUGUUUGAAAAUAUCCAUAAAUCAGGUUGAAAGUUGCGAGGUUGAUGUUUGAAAAUUCUAUCUUUGUACUUUUAAAAACUAAUUUUAAAAAGGAUGGAACUUUAAUAUGCCUAAUAACAUAAAUUAAUUUGUCAAACACUUAUAAAAUUUUCUAAUAUUUUAAGUAUGAUAAACAAUUUAUUUUUCCAUCUUAUGUAAAAAAAAUAUUUGCUAAUGUAUUAAAAAUAAAUGUAAUUGGGAAAAAGCUUGUACGUCGUGUCAUUCAUCCACGCUGAGGAGUCAGUGGCAGUGUGAAGAAGUUAAUAGGUAGUCUGAAAGACCAGUUCUGAGUCUUUUGACGUUAGCUGCUUGUUCUACAGAAGACCACUAUUUUGUUUGUUUGUUUGUUUUUUUUUUUUUUUUUUUUUUUUUUUUAAUGUUUUAAUUUUGUAAACACCAAGUCUAAUCAUGUUUCUCGUUUGUCGCAUCAUGUCCACCUCAUGUCCGAGUGGAUUGAAAAAGCAAAAGGCUAGAAGAAAAGUAUUCGAUUCUUAGUAAAGUCAAUACGCACUCCGUGACGUCUCCUCCAGAACUUCCUAGUAAAGUCUCCAUUCUUCACUCUCAAAAUCUCCAUACCCAACAGCUCCAUCUACUCCUUUUACGCGUUCCCACAACAGCUAUAUAUAUGCACACACAAAGUGUUCAUCCUCACAUCUUCACAUCUUACUACAGAUUAAGUGUUAUUCACAUUAAUUUUCAUUAACAUUCUUGUGUUGCGACAGCCAUGAUUAACUGCAAUGUGUAUGAACGCAUUUUCAAGCGCUUCGAUGAAGAUGGUGAUGGGAAACUCUCUCCUUCGGAGCUCCGACGCUGCUUGGGGACGAUAGGGGAGGAGCUGCUGAUGGAGGAGGCGCAAGAGUUGGUGGAGUCGAUGGACUCGGACGGAGAUGGGUUGCUGGGAUUGGAGGAAUUUGUGGGGUGGAUGGAGAGAGAGGGUGAAGAGAGAAAGAUGGAGGAUUUGAGAGAGGCCUUUAGGAUGUAUGAGAUGGAAGGGAGUGGGUGUAUAACUGCAAAGAGCUUGAAGAGGAUGCUGAGUAGAUUGGGGGAGUCAAGAAGUGUGGAAGAGUGCAGUGUUAUGAUCGGACAGUUUGAUGUAAAUGGGGAUGGGGUUCUGAGCUUUGAUGAGUUCAAGCUCAUGAUGCUUUAAUCUUGUUUAACAUCUUUCAUCUGAAUGUUGUAUUUUUUUUUUAGAUUUAAGAAGAGUGGUUUGUAUUCAAAAAUUAAGAUACUCCUCAUUGCUUUCCUCGUGCACAUGGUGAAGAAAAUACUCCCUAUUCUAUAUUUGAUUUUGCAAAAAAAUUCCUUUUACGGCAAAGAGCAAGUGUGAUAAAAUUUAAGUUGAUUUUUAAAUUAAAUUGUUAAUUCAAAUCAUUUUCUCUCUCUGUUUGUAAAAUAUUCAUAUUAAAAAUAUUAUAAAAAUACAUAAUAUUAUUACAUAAAAUAAUAAUGAAAUAUAUAUCAUGGAAAAAAUGAAGUAUUAAAUUAUUUUAUAUUUUUAAAAAGUUAUUUAGUCUAAGUUAUUGUUUUGCAUUAUUUUAACUUUAAAUUAUAUAGAAUUAAUUUACCAAUAUGCCUAGACCCCAUUUGAAAUAGAGUUUAACUUUUGCCCUAAUAAUAAAUAAGUAGAAGUAUAAGUAUUAUUGGUGUAAUUGAAUUUUAUAUUUUGGAAUGAUAUCUAUCCCCGCAAAUUUUGGCAGUCUUAUAAAAAAAGUAAAACUGUUGAAAAAAUAUUAGAAUAAAAUUUUUGCAUUAAAAUAAUUAUCGGGGUGCACAAUCCAUAGGACGAUAAUGAAUUGGAGUUGAAGAUCAAUUAAGGACCUUAUUUUUUUUUUUUAAGUGGGAAGUUGUUUUUCAUAAUUUUAUCAUUGAAGUUAUCAGUAUUUGUAAGUGAAAUUAGAGAAUUAAAUUUGGAAUACUGAAGAUUUGAUUAUUUAAUUCAAGAAGUUUGGUUUCUUAAAGUUAACAACUUGUCUAAUUUAUUUAGGAAAUUAGUUAAUAAGAGAAUAUUUAUUUUCAAUUUUCUUUUGAUUUUGUCUUUUUUUAUUGAGGAAAUUUGUUAAUAAAAAAUAUAUAUUUUUAAUUCUCUCCUAAACUUUAAUGAUUUGAUUUAAUUUUAUUUUGUAAUACUUUUAAAUUUCAUGAGGUGUCACAUUUGAAUUAAGGAGUUACAAUUUUGAAGAAUAGUUUAGUGGUAAUUUCAUGCACCAAAUUUUUUAUAUCUAUAUUAUCAUCAAUGUUUUUAGAAUUGGAUCAGUCAUUAAACCGGAAAAGUUAUUGAUUCACAGUUUACUGGUUGGACCAACGAUCUAACCGCGGUCGAACCGGUACCGUCAUAAAUUUAUAUUUUAUUAUUUUAUAUAUUAUUAAAAUUUUAAAAAUUACAAAAAAAUAAUAUAUUUUAUCUAAAUUUUUACAAUAUCUAUCAAAAUUCUGAUCAACAAAUAAAAAUAACACAUUAAAUAAUAAAUAUAAAAGUAAUAAAACAAAAAAAUAAAUUUAAAAAAUAAAAAUCAAACAUUGGAGCAGCUACUGCACAGGCCGAGGAGGGGGGUGUGUGAUCUACAACGGGUGUCGCCAGGGUGGGGGAGAUUUAUAGCCGCUGGAGUGGGGGCUUACAAUAGGGGAAGGGGGAUUGGGGGGUUAUAGCAUGCCGAAGGAGGUUUAUAGCGGCAAGGGGUGGCUUACCGGCUUGCAACGGCACGAUGGGGAAAAGGUGACUCAAGCAACGGUCUUACGACCGAUGGAGGGAGAUUUUGCAUGGUGAAAUGACCGACAGUGGGAGCUUGUCGCGGUGGGUGAGGGGCGGGCGACAACUGCUAUGGUUUGGAGAGAGAGGGUUUGGAAGGAGGUUUUAUAUCUUCCAAAACAACGUUGUUUUGAUGCUAAAAAAAAAAAUUUAAUCGAACUGUCUAGUUUGAAGGGAAAUGGCCCGUUCGUUCGGUUCAUCAAUCGAAUCACCAAUUCAGUCGGUCCGAUCCUGGUUCAACCUAUUUCCGGUCUAAUUGAUCGGAUCGGACCAGAAUCAUGACCAACCGACGAUUGGACCUGCCUGUUUAGUCCGGUUUUUAAAACCAUGAUUAUCAUAAAAUAAGAAAUAUUUUUAUUAAGGUAAUAUUUAAUUCUCGAAAAAUUUGAGGGAAAUAAAAUAGAUAGAAAAAUUAGAAGAAAAAAAUAGAUAAUAAAUUUAAAAUCAAUAAAUUAUUUUUAUAUAUUACUUUAAACUUAUUUUACUUAUUUAACUAUUUUAUAUAAGGAUUAAAUAAUUUUAAAAUAAUAAAUUUUUAAUUAAAUUUAAUUAUAUUUGAUUUUUUUUUAUAGUAGAAUCAAAUAUAAGAAAAUUAUUUUUUGAUAUUUUUUAUUUUUGUAGUAUGAACGCACACUUGGAUAAGAUUGAAAGUUGUGGGCCACAUUUAAAAAUUCUUUUCAAACAAUACUAAUUUUGAUGGAAAACUCUUUUAAGAGGAUUUUAACAUGUUUAAUAAUUUAAAUUAAGUAAUUAAAUCAUAUUAAAUUAUUAAAUAAUUAAUUUAUCAAAUAUUUCUAAAUCUUUUAAUCAAAAUGAAAAAAAUAUUUGUUAUAUAUAUAUAUAUAUAUAUAUAUAUAUGUUCAUCCACGGUGACGAGUUAUUGGAAUAGUGUAGAAGUAGAUAGGUUGUUUGAACUUUGAAGUAGUUCAGAAGUUUGCUUGUCGGAAGACCACUAUUUUAAAAAAAAAAAACAAAUUAUUAUUAUUAUUAUUAUUUUAUUUUUAAUUUUGUAACAUGAAGUCUAUCGUGUUACUCGUCUGUCGCAUCAUUUCCACAUCAUGUCCAAGUGGAUUGAAAAAGCAAACAAGCCAGAAGAAAAGUAUUCAUUUACGAGGAGGGUUUGACCCUCGUACAGUGGAAUUCCAGCACAAAGCCUAGCAAUUUCUCACUUUCUGCCUCCGAAACCUGCCAAUACGCACUCCGUGACGUCUCCAACACUCGCUUCGCUUCAUUCUCCGGAACUUCCUAGUAAAGUAUCAAUUCUUCACUCCCAAAAUCUCUAUACCCAACAGCUCCAUCUACUCCUUUUACGCGUCCUCACAACAGCUAUAUAUAUGCACACACAAAGUGUUCAUCCUCACAUCUUCACAUCUUACCACAUAUUAAGUGUUAUUCACAUCAAUUUUCAUUAAUAUCCUUGUGUUGCGACAGCCAUGAUCAACUGCAAUGUGUAUGAACACAUUUUCAAGCGCUUCGAUGAAGAUGGUGAUGGGAAACUCUCUCCUUCGGAGCUCCGACGCUGCUUGGGGACGAUAGGGGAGGAACUGAUGAUGGAGGAGGCGCAGGAGGUGGUGGAGUCGAUGGACUCGGACGGAGAUGGGUUGCUGGGAUUGGAGGAAUUUGUGGGGUGGAUGGAGAGAGAGGGUGAAGAGAGAAAGAUGGAGGAUUUGAGAGAGGCCUUUAGGAUGUAUGAGAUGGAAGGGAGUGGGUAUAUUACUCCAAAGAGCUUGAAGAGGAUGCUGAGUAGAUUGGGAGAGUCAAGAAGUGUGGAAGAGUGCAGUGUUAUGAUCGCACAGUUUGAUGUAAAUGGGGAUGGG